rnacentral:rRNA from 1 species
GAUGAACGCUAGCUACAGGCUUAACACAUGCAAGUCGAGGGGCAGCAUGAACUUAGCUUGCUAAGUUUGAUGGCGACCGGCGCACGGGUGAGUAACACGUAUCCAACCUGCCGAUGACUCGGGGAUAGCCUUUCGAAAGAAAGAUUAAUACCCGAUGGCAUAGUUCUUCCGCAUGGUAGAACUAUUAAAGAAUUUCGGUCAUCGGUGGGGAUGCGUUCCAUUAGGUUGUUGGCGGGGUAACGGCCCACCAAGCCUUCGAUGGAUAGGGGUUCUGAGAGGAAGGUCCCCCACAUUGGAACUGAGACACGGUCCAAACUCCUACGGGAGGCAGCAGUGAGGAAUAUUGGUCAAUGGACGAGAGUCUGAACCAGCCAAGUAGCGUGAAGGAUGACUGCCCUAUGGGUUGUAAACUUCUUUUAUACGGGAAUAAAGUGAGGCACGUGUGCCUUUUUGUAUGUACCGUAUGAAUAAGGAUCGGCUAACUCCGUGCCAGCAGCCGCGGUAAUACGGAGGAUCCGAGCGUUAUCCGGAUUUAUUGGGUUUAAAGGGAGCGUAGGCGGACGCUUAAGUCAGUUGUGAAAGUUUGCGGCUCAACCGUAAAAUUGCAGUUGAUACUGGGUGUCUUGAGUACAGUAGAGGCAGGCGGAAUUCGUGGUGUAGCGGUGAAAUGCUUAGAUAUCACGAAGAACUCCGAUUGCGAAGGCAGCUUGCUGGACUGUAACUGACGCUGAUGCUCGAAAGUGUGGGUAUCAAACAGGAUUAGAUACCCUGGUAGUCCACACAGUAAACGAUGAAUACUCGCUGUUUGCGAUAUACAGUAAGCGGCCAAGCGAAAGCGUUAAGUAUUCCACCUGGGGAGUACGCCGGCAACGGUGAAACUCAAAGGAAUUGACGGGGGCCCGCACAAGCGGAGGAACAUGUGGUUUAAUUCGAUGAUACGCGAGGAACCUUACCCGGGCUUGAAUUGCAACUGAAUGAUGUGGAGACAUGUCAGCCGCAAGGCAGUUGUGAAGGUGCUGCAUGGUUGUCGUCAGCUCGUGCCGUGAGGUGUCGGCUUAAGUGCCAUAACGAGCGCAACCCUUAUCGAUAGUUACCAUCAGGUUAUGCUGGGGACUCUGUCGAGACUGCCGUCGUAAGAUGUGAGGAAGGUGGGGAUGACGUCAAAUCAGCACGGCCCUUACGUCCGGGGCUACACACGUGCUACAAUGGGGGGUGCAGAAGGCAGCUACACGGCGACGUGAUGCUAAUCCCUAAAGCCUCUCUCAGUUCGGAUUGGAGUCUGCAACCCGACUCCAUGAAGCUGGAUUCGCUAGUAAUCGCGCAUCAGCCACGGCGCGGUGAAUACGUUCCCGGGCCU